CUCUUAUCAAGAGUGGUGGAGGGAAUAGGCCCUGCGAAGCCCGGCAACCUGUAGCAAUUGCUAUUGAAAGGUGCUAAAUCCUACAGACUUCAUCGUCUGGAAGAUAAGAG
rnacentral:ncRNA from 20 species